AUGACACAGUCUACUCAACAGACUACUUUGUGAUCAAUGGCUCAAACAAUGGGAGCCUUAUCUCAAACCUCAAGCACUCCAGUAAUGUCAGUUUUACAGGAUGAUGGGCCUUCAGGGUGGACAGUGGAUCAAAGUCAAACAAAGAGAACGUUGCUGGACUUCAAGUGAAACUUUCCUCAUUUUCUGACCUAACAGAUACUGGAAACGUUCAGGUCGUUUUACAGCAAAUAAAACAGGAGCUAGUCAAGUACGGUCUGCCAAACAGUGUCGAGUUGAGGUUAAGAAAAGCACAAAAGAUAAAGCCAUAAUAUCAGUCUCCUUCAGGAAAAGAACUAAAACAGUCCUGUUCAUUUAGCGCCUCUGAUUGAUCAUAUACAGAUUUAGUUUUUUAAUUAUUGUGGGUUUUAUUUGAAGCUUUAAAAAGGAACAUAAAACACCAUGAAAGUGGUCUUACAGUAUAGUAGAUUAUAGUAGUUAAGAUGUAUUGCAUACUGACAUCCACCCUUGGUUUCCUAAACUCAUGAGAAAGUUCAUCUUUUAAAUGAAUUAGCUGACAGUUGAUGCCAUUACAAACUGAAUGAUUUGAUUACUAAUUAUCUGGUCCUCAUGUUCAGUUCACUGAUUCCAUUUGGUUGCAGUGAUCUGGUUAAAGACCUGCUGAAA